rnacentral:misc_RNA from 1 species
AGCGAUAUCGACCUGAUCGUGUUCUACGAACUGGAAGCGCCGACGCUGGCCGAGGGCAUCGAGCCGUCGCCGUUCUUCGUCAAGAUCGCGCAGGGGCUGUCGCGCCUGCUGCAACAGCGCACCGCCGAUGGCUACGUGUUUCGCGUCGAUCUGCGGCUGCGGCCCGAUCCAGCCUCGACGCCGGGGGCGAUCUCCACUGCCGCGGGCCUGCAUUACCCUGUGCGCCACCGCCCGCCCCCGGAU